CGUGAGGCAUGCUGGAGGUAUCAGAAGUGCGAAUGCUGACAUAAGUAACGAUAAAGCGGGUGAAAAGCCCGCUCGCCGGAAGACCAAGGGUUCCUGUCCAACGUUAAUCGGGGCAGGGUGAGUCGACCCCUAAGGCGAGGCCGAAAGGCGUAGUCGAUGGGAAACGGGUUAAUAUUCCCGUACUUGGUGUUACUGCGAAGGGGGGACGGAGAAGGCUAUGUUGGCCGGGCGACGGUUGUCCCGGUUUAAGCGUGUAGGUGUGUGUUCCAGGUAAAUCCGGUUCACUUUAACACUGAGGCGUGAUGACGAGGCACUACGGUGCUGAAGCAACAAAUGCCCUGCUUCCAGGAAAAGCCUCUAAGCAUCAGGUAACAUCAAAUCGUACCCCAAACCGACACAGGUGGUCAGGUAGAGAAUACCAAGGCGCUUGAGAGAACUCGGGUGAAGGAACUAGGCAAAAUGGUGCCGUAACUUCGGGAGAAGGCACGCUGACACGUAGGUGAAGUGAUUUACUCAUGGAGCUGAAGUCAGUCGAAGAUACCAGCUGGCUGCAACUGUUUAUUAAAAACACAGCACUGUGCAAACACGAAAGUGGACGUAUACGGUGUGACGCCUGCCCGGUGCCGGAAGGUUAAUUGAUGGGGUCAGCGCAAGCGAAGCUCCUGAUCGAAGCCCCGGUAAACGGCGGCCGUAACUAUAACGGUCCUAAGGUAGCGAAAUUCCUUGUCGGGUAAGUUCCGACCUGCACGAAUGGCGUAAUGAUGGCCAGGCUGUCUCCACCCGAGACUCAGUGAAAUUGAACUCGCUGUGAAGAUGCAGUGUACCCGCGGCAAGACGGAAAGACCCCGUGAACCUUUACUAUAGCUUGACACUGAACAUUGAGCCUUGAUGUGUAGGAUAGGUGGGAGGCUUUGAAGCGUGGACGCCAGUCUGCGUGGAGCCGACCUUGAAAUACCACCCUUUAAUGUUUGAUGUUCUAACGUGGACCCGUGAUCCGGGUUGCGGACAGUGUCUGGUGGGUAGUUUGACUGGGGCGGUCUCCUCCUAAAGAGUAACGGAGGAGCACGAAGGUUGGCUAAUCCUGGUCGGACAUCAGGAGGUUAGUGCAAUGGCAUAAGCCAGCUUGACUGCGAGCGUGACGGCGCGAGCAGGUGCGAAAGCAGGUCAUAGUGAUCCGGUGGUUCUGAAUGGAAGGGCCAUCGCUCAACGGAUAAAAGGUACUCCGGGGAUAACAGGCUGAUACCGCCCAAGAGUUCAUAUCGACGGCGGUGUUUGGCACCUCGAUGUCGGCUCAUCACAUCCUGGGGCUGAAGUAGGUCCCAAGGGUAUGGCUGUUCGCCAUUUAAAGUGGUACGCGAGCUGGGUUUAGAACGUCGUGAGACAGUUCGGUCCCUAUCUGCCGUGGGCGCUGGAGAACUGAGGGGGGCUGCUCCUAGUACGAGAGGACCGGAGUGGACGCAUCACUGGUGUUCGGGUUGUCAUGCCAAUGGCACUGCCCGGUAGCUAAAUGCGGAAGAGAUAAGUGCUGAAAGCAUCUAAGCACGAAACUUGCCCCGAGAUGAGUUCUCCCUGAGACUUAGAGUCUCCUGAAGGAACGUUGAAGACGACGACGUUGAUAGGCCGGGUGUGUAAGCGCAGCGAUGCGUUGAGCUAACCGGUACUAAUGAACCGUGAGG
rnacentral:rRNA from 1 species